GUAGCAACGACCGGCCGCCGUCGGUUCCGUCCGCACAUCUGGUUGAGGGGCGUCUCCUGUCGCCAUCUGUCAUCGUGAAUGGGGCCGUGCCGACGUGUCAGACGGGACGAACGGGGGAAGUCGGUCCAGAGUCACUGCGCCGCGCGGUUGUGUGAGCAAGCCGUGGGCUAGGUACCGCUCCAGGUCAGACCAUGGUUGGCACUGAAGAGUGCGGCGACACUAAAGAGCUGUGAACGAAGACGGUGAACGGCGAGAUGUGGUGACCGCUUGACUGACCUGUGCUCAAAGUCGUGAUCUACCGUUGGCCGCUGGGGUCAGUGCGUGAGAAGCUGGACUCGGCAACAACGGAGGACGCAGCUCGACGAGGAAGCUAUGCUGUGUUGAGGGACGUCUGCCGGUUACGACCGGAAGGUUUCCGACGGGACUUGGCAGAACCCACAACAGCAGUAUGAACCCGGCGUGGAGUUAAUGCGUAAUUGCUCGCAUGAGCAACCGAAGAGCGACUUCCAGGCGAAGAUGCCGCAGAAUUCCUGGAGAUGCGCUGGGACAUGGAUCAUAGCAAGGUGGCUCUCAGCGGCAGCUGACCGCUGAGAUGUGUCUGAAACAGCCAGAAGGAAGACUCGAGUUGUGGAUCCAGGGCACUACUGAUCGGAAGGCGGGACCAGCUGUAGGGAGACUACAGCAAAGCCGUCGUACUCAAUCUGCUGAACAGACUCCUACUGCAGAGGAAAAACUGGAGUUCGACGUGUUAGAACUGGGGUUAGACCGGUUACCAGUGCUCGUGUUCGUCACCUGUUGUUUGUCACUGCUGUGCUGCUGCUGUAUGUCAUGUUUGCCACCUGCUAAGCGUUCACAAUGUAUUUUAAGUGAAUAAUAACCUUUUUAGGGUUUUGCCGAAACGUCAUUAUUCUUUUCCUCAGGUUAAUAAAUAUCUAAAAAGUUAAUUGUUUUUAAAAACGGGCUUCGCUGAGGAAAACUAAAUAUUAUAACCAAAUACAUAUUUCGGCUUUAUUGAUCAGCCUUGUUCACUGGUUUGAAAUACAUUUUUCUCAAAAACAUGACCUAAAAAUUCAAAUAUUCAUAUCGUGCCGUCAGUGAUGACGAU